GGUUUCAUGGUGUAGUUGGUUAUCACGCGACCUUAACAAAAAUUCUCUUUCUUUGAGAGGGAAUACUUGAAUCGGUCGAGGUCUUGAGUUCGAUCCUCAAUGAAAUCA